rnacentral:rRNA from 1 species
UUUUUGUUUAUAAUUUAAAGUUUAAUCUGCCCACUGAUAAUAAUUAAAGGGCUGCAGUAUAUUGACUGUACAAAGGUAGCAUAAUCAUUAGUCUUUUAAUUGAAGACUUGUAUGAAAGAUUUGAUGAGAUAUAAACUGUCUCUUAUUUAAAAUUAGAAAUUAAUUUUUUAAUAAAAAAGUUAAAAUAAAUUUAAAAGACGAGAAGACCCUAUAGAGUUUUAUAAUUAUUUUAAUUGAUUAUUUUUAUAAAUUUUAAUUAAAAAUUAAUAUUAAUUAUUUAAUUGGGGUGAUUGAAAAAUUAAAUAAACUUUUUAUAUAAUUAAACAUAAAUUAAUGAAUAAAUGAUCCAUAAUUUAUGAUUAAAAGAAAAAAUUACCUUAGGGAUAACAGCGUAAUUUUUUUUUUUAGUUCAAAUAAAAAAAAGAGUUUGCGACCUCGAUGUUGGAUUAAGAUAAAAUUUAAAUGUAGAAGUUUAAAAUUUUUGAUCUGUUCGAUCAUUAAAAUCUUACAUGAUCUGA